UCUUAUUUGUAACGUGGAGUUCAGCCCAGGACGGAGGCUAUCCUCAUGUGAACCGUGUUGGCCCCGCUCCCUGGUAAACAUGACGCAGGGAACCUCCAUCGUUUCUCCGGCUCGGUGUUUGGCUCGGCCGCGUCCUCAUCACUGCAGCCUCUGACACACUUGGGGGAGAGCACAGUGGAAGUGCCCCAGACCUGCUCCCUUCAAGUGCCUCUAUAUUUAGACCCUUUGUGCGUCACUGCGUCUCCGGAGCAACUGCCUCUGAUGCUUUGGGCUCGUCACUGAUUGGCCGGUGUGCGAUCUACAACUUCCAGGCUUCUCGCAAAGCAGAGCCUCUGCUCUGCACUAGUUGGCACCAGACUGGCUACUAAAUUCUAGCUGUAGUUUCACUUGGGCUUUUCAUGCCACAGUUGUAACCAAUUGUAAGCUGUCUAGAAGACUGCAUUAAAGGAGCAAGACGCUCAGUUUCCUGGCUCAUGAAAAGCGAGUAUGACUUACUGUUGAUCUGCGUUUACAUACACGAUGUAUCCAACACGUAGUGAUAACAGUACAAAGUGAAUUGGGGCCUGUUUACAAAAGAAAGCUUGCAGGUAAAAAUGUCAAAAUAUUUUAUCGGAAGUGUCUUUCGUUUAGAUGGUGAUGGCGUUUUGGGGCUUAAAAAUGCAAAAUCUGAAACCACCCUCCAGAGAGGAAAAGUUGAAUACGCUCCGCUGUAGCAUUUCCAUCUACACUGGCCAAGACACAAAACUCUGUUCAGAUCUGCUCACGUCGCGUACGCAUUUACGUCACAUACAUACAGUACAUAGAAACCUGACAUGCAUACCCAAUCCAAUUCCACACACUUUUGCGUCACCGUAUGCACACAGAUUUAGUCCCGAAAAACGCUCGUCUAAACAGAAUAAAAAGUGAAGCCGCGACACCACUUUUGCGUCUUCUGUUGAGACGGUCAUCAUUUAAAUGUAGCCUUAGUGAACUCAAUGUUGAUAUAGGGAAAGGAUUCGACACCAUAAAUAUGAGGAAAACCACUCUUCUGAAGACAAUGGAAUGUUAUUUUCAUCACAAAAUAUUAGUAAUUUAUUUUAUUUUUUCAGUACAACAAAAUGGUUUUGUUAAAGGGCCAAUGUUACUUUAUUCUCUGGUUUAUGUUGUAAUGUUGUUUCCUCAUUAAAAACAUACGUGGACUUGUGUUUUCUUUUAUUCACACAUGGUUAACACACAAAUCAUACAUACAGUUUUUAGGUUGAGUUCUUCUCUCAUUCAGAAAACAUGCUGUUUGAUCUUGUGACGUCAUGUGAUAAUACACGAAGUGCUCCUUGGUGUUUUUAAACUCCAUACACUUUCACUAGAAUCAUUUGGAUGAUUUCAGUAGUGGAAAAGCCAAUCUCUACUGAACUA